rnacentral:lncRNA from 1 species
CAAUUAUGAAAUCAUGUUCUCCUUCCAGGGGAGGGAAUCUUGGAGAGAGAGGAAGUGACUUAGCACAGUGAGCUGCUCAGCAGCUGGAAACCUAAUGGAACAGAACACCAUCUAACCCCUGGGAGAUGCAUGCAGCCACUCUGUGAUUUUACAACCACAGCAGACUUUUCCUAUGAGUAUCCCUUGUAGGUGGUUCAGAACUCUCAGUUGAGAGGCAGCUGUGGAGAAACCAGGCCAGCUUCUGCAGGGACGUGAGUCCAUUCUGAUAGAAUCUUGCUCUGUCUCAAAACAGGCUGAAGUGGAGUGCAGUGGUGCAAUCACAGCGCACUGCAGCCUUGAACUCCCAGGCUCAAGUGAUUUCAGUCUCCUGAGUGAGACUACAGUUAUGCACCAACACACCCAGCUAUUUAUUUUUAUUUUUUAGUAGAGACAGGAGUCUCGCUAUGUGGCACAGGCUGAUCUCUAACUCCUGGGCUCAAGCAAUCCUCCUGUGCCAACCUCCCAAAGUGCUGGGAUUACAGGCAUGAGCCACCACGUCCAUCCAUAAUCCAGUCUUACUGGUUACCUUUCAAGAACAGAUCAGGAUACACAGAGAGCCACCAAGGGUGAGUGCACAGAGGAAAGGCCACGUGAGAACACAGCAAGAAGGCCACAAUCUGCUCUCCAAGGAGAGAGCCUUCAGGAGAAACCAAAUCUGCUGACAUCUUGAAUUUGAACUUCCACCCUCGAGAGCUGUGAGAAGAAAAAUUUCUACUGCUCUAGGCACCCCAUCUGUAGUAUUUUGUUAUGGCAGCCCUAUCAAACUAGUACUGGUUGGUACAUAUUUCUCCCUCAUUUGUACUGCCAAGUCUACCCCACUGUACAGAAAACAAACGCAUGGGAUAUUUUUAAAAGGAAAACUUUAAUAAAAGAUAGGGUUAUGAUUCCACCUUCAGUUUUCAGGGAGAUGGUGUUUACAUGCUCAACACAGAGAAUCAGGAGCAGGCAAGAUGGGAGAUCAUAGGAAAGCUGCUGCUCUCUGCCUUUGGAUCUAAACUGCUUUAGUGAUGAGAAUUCUCUCAUAGUGAAAAGAUGCUUUAGAUGGAAACCCUAUGCCCAUCACUUUCUGGAAAAUGAUCUUGUCUCCUUUUAAUCCUUUUUGGAUAAAGGAGAUUCUGGUGGAUAUGUCACCUAAUGAUUGUUUUGCAUACCAUGGGUCUCUUGCAUUUCUGUAUGAAUUUUAUAACAUCGGUCUCUCCAACCAAACCCACUGGAAUUUUAAUAAAGAUCACAUUGAUCUGUAGGUCAAUUUGAGGAUCAAUUUGAGGGUUACUAUCUCAACAAUAUUAAGGUCUUCUUAUCCACUCACAUGUACUUUUUCACUUAUUUAUACCAUCUUUCACUACUUUCCAUGUUUCCUAGUUUUCAGUGCAAUAAUUGUAUUCAUCUUUUAUUAAAUUCACUUCUAUUUUUGAUGCUAUAAUGAAUAGAAUUGCUUUCUUCACUUCAUUUUGGAAUAUGCAUUGCUAACCUGUAGAAAUGCAUUUGAAUUUUGUAUAUUAAUCUUGUAUCCUGAAAUUUUACAGAACUCAUUCAUCAAUUUGAGUAAUUCAUCCAUGAAUCUGUUAAGAUUUUUACAUAUAACAUCAUGUCAUCUACAAAUAGACAUUGUUUUAUUAUUUUUUUCUUUCAAAUCUGAAUACCUUUUUAAUUAUUAUUAUUUUUCCCUAAUUGUGCUGGUAGAACUGCCAGCAAAAUGUUAAAUAGAAGUGGUGGGCCUGGUCGCCUUUUUCUAGUUCUUGAUUUAAAACCUUAAUCUACUUAUUUCAGCCUCUAUGCUUCCUCAAGGAGAGUUUCUAUUGACUGUUUUGUUUUACCUCUGUGCAUGGGUCAUACUUUACCUUUUUUUCGAUAUCUUAUUCUUUGUUGAAAAUUGUACAUUUAAAAUAAUAUAAUAUGAGAACCAUGAAAACCAGAUCUCCCUCCACCCACACCCCUGCUGAGGACAGGACUUUUCUCUCUGAGCAAGUGCUCAGUCAGUUCAAAUAAACAUAAGAUCUAUAGUGGAGUUUUUCAGGGAGCUGACAGUUCCAGUGAUGACAGUUAUCUGAGAUUUGAGACUUUGGGGAGCUCUAAACCCAGUUUACCCCUCCAGUGGCUGCUCUAGUGUGGUUUCUAAAGCUACCGUAUUUGUGAGACUACUUAUUUCAAAGGAUAUGGUGGAACUGGGGAGAGAAUGAUGGGGAUAGAGAAUAUUAAAAUGCCCCACAACUCACUGGUUUUACCACAUUCAACAAUUUAUCUUGAAUAAAC